CGCAUCUGUGCAUGCAGCAUUCAAUAAGCGGAGGAAAAGAAACUAACAAGGAUUCCCCUAGUAACGGCGAGUGAAGCGGGAAGAGCUCAAAUUUGAAAUCUUAAAGGGUUUCCCUUUACGAAUUGUAGUUUAAAGAAGUGUUUUCUGUUGAGGUUUUGGUAAAAGUUCUUUGGAAUAGGACAUCAUAGAGGGUGAGAAUCCCGUAUUUGACCUUUACUUUCAACUUUGUGAUACACUUUCAAAGAGUCGGAUUGUUUGGGAAUGCAGUCCAAAAUGGGUGGUAAAUUUCAUCUAAAGCUAAAUAUUGGCGAGAGACCGAUAGCGAACAAGUACCGUGAGGGAAAGAUGAAAAGAACUUUGAAAAGAGAGUUAAACAGUACGUGAAAUUGUCAAAAGGGAAGCGUUUGACACCAGUGUUGUUUUUCUGAAAAUCAAUUAAAGAACUGUUUAUGCUAAGUUGUUUAGACUUUAUCAGCUAACUGUUUAGUUUUGAGCUUUUCUUUAAUGCACCUUUCAGUUAACAAGUCAACAUCAAUUUCUUUUGCUGUAAAAAAGCUUGAGGAAGGUGGCUUGAGAUUCGUCUUAAGUGUUUAUAGCCUCUUGCCUAUGCAGUCGGAGAGAUUGAGGUCUGCAGCGUAGAUCCUUCGGGGCUAAAUGCAUUUGUGCUAAGUUAUAGCAUUUUAUAGACAACUUGUUGACUAUGAUUUGUCUUGUAGCUUACUCGCUUAUGUUAUUUUACCUACGCUUAGGAUGUUGAACGCGCACAGAGUCUC
rnacentral:rRNA from 1 species